rnacentral:rRNA from 1 species
AUUGAACGCUGGCGGCAGGCCUAACACAUGCAAGUCGAGCGGAUGAAGGGAGCUUGCUCCUGGAUUCAGCGGCGGACGGGUGAGUAAUGCCUAGGAAUCUGCCUGGUAGUGGGGGAUAACGUCCGGAAACGGGCGCUAAUACCGCAUACGUCCUGAGGGAGAAAGUGGGGGAUCUUCGGACCUCACGCUAUCAGAUGAGCCUAGGUCGGAUUAGCUAGUUGGUGGGGUAAAGGCCUACCAAGGCGACGAUCCGUAACUGGCCUGAGAGGAUGAUCAGUCACACUGGAACUGAGACUCGGUCCAGACUCCUACGGGAGGCAGCAGUGGGGAAUAUUGGACAAUGGGCGAAAGCCUGAUCCAGCCAUGCCGCGUGUGUGAAGAAGGUCUUCGGAUUGUAAAGCACUUUAAGUUGGGAGGAAGGGCAGUAAGUUAAUACCUUGCUGUUUUGACGUUACCAACAGAAUAAGCACCGGCUAACUUCGUG